GGGGACGAUCGGUUUUGAUAAAAAGAAUAAUUAAACGCAUGCAAGCCGAGUAUGCCUUGUAUUCUCGUUAAAAAUCAGGGCAAAAAUAAGUGCAAACUUAUUUAGCCGGGUAAAAGACGCUUUUCGCGUUUUGACUCCCGCAUACGCUUUAGCUUAAAUUCUGAAGCCAUCGCCAUUUCCGAUUCUCAAUAGGAAAUACGCGGUGUCAUAUUAUUGAGAUACGGGAUUUUGACGCCCAAGGGAAAUCCUGAAAAUUUAUUGGGAUAAGCGCGGGUGUUUUGCCGGAUUUCAUAGCCCGCGACGAAAAUAAAAAAUUCGGUUACACUUGUAGACUUGCUUUAAUUUACUUUUUACACGCGGGUUCGAUUCCCGCCGUCUCCAUUC
rnacentral:tmRNA from 1 species